AGAGUUUGAUCCUGGCUCAGGAUGAACGCUGGCGGCGUGCCUAAUACAUGCAAGUCGAGCGAGGCCUUCGGGGCCUAGCGGCGGACGGGUGAGUAACACGUGGGUAACCUGCCUGUAAGACUGGGAUAACUUCGGGAAACCGAAGCUAAUACCGGAUAAUUUCGAGCAUCGCAUGAUGCUUGAUGGAAAGACGGCUUCGGCUGUCGCUUACAGAUGGACCCGCGUCGCAUUAGCUAGUUGGUGAGGUAACGGCUCACCAAGGCGACGAUGCGUAGCCGACCUGAGAGGGUGAUCGGCCACACUGGGACUGAGACACGGCCCAGACUCCUACGGGAGGCAGCAGUAGGGAAUCUUCGGCAAUGGGCGAAAGCCUGACCGAGCAACGCCGCGUGAGCGAUGAAGGCCUUCGGGUCGUAAAGCUCUGUUGUUAAGGAAGAACAAGUACGAGAGUAACUGCUCGUACCUUGACGGUACUUAACGAGAAAGCCACGGCUAACUACGUGCCAGCAGCCGCGGUAAUACGUAGGUGGCGAGCGUUAUCCGGAAUUAUUGGGCGUAAAGCGCGCGCAGGCGGUUUCUUAAGUCUGAUGUGAAAGCCCACGGCUCAACCGUGGAGGGUCAUUGGAAACUGGGAAACUUGAGUACAGAAGAGGAAAGCGGAAUUCCACGUAGCGGUGAAAUGCGUAGAGAUGUGGAGGAACACCAGUGGCGAAGGCGGCUUUCUGGUCUGUAACUGAGCUGANNNNNGAAAGCGUGGGGAGCAAACAGGAUUAGAUACCCUAGUAGUCC
rnacentral:rRNA from 1 species